UACGAAGGGGGCUAGCGUUGCUCGGAAUCACUGGGCGUAAAGCGCACGUAGGCGGAUUGUUAAGUCAGGGGUGAAAUCCUGGAGCUCAACUCCAGAACUGCCUUUGAUACAGCACGUCUCGAGUCCGGAAGAGGUGGGUGGAAUUCCUAGUGUAGAGGUGAAAUUCGUAGAUAUUAGGAAGAACACCGGUGGCGAAGGCGGCCCACUGGUCCGGUACUGACGCUGAGGUGCGAAAGCGUGGGGAGCAAACAGG
rnacentral:rRNA from 1 species